UGCUUAACAAAUGCCAUAAUUAUUAUUAAAAAAACCCUGAGUAGGAUCAGAAUUGUGGGGAGAGGGUCUUUGGGCUCACCCCCCAACUGCCAUUCCUCCAGGGGCGGUGUCAUCAGGCAGGGGCAGUGACAUCAUACACAGACCUACCCAACGCAGACCACUGAAAUUCUAAGCUUCAGUGCCCCAAAGUGGGAGACGCCCAGUCUGGCCCUGACCCCGCCAUGGGCCCUGGGCCAGUGUGGUUGGUAGUCGUUUGUGUCCUGGGAGAGGGCCCAUGGACAGUGGAGUUGCAGGCAGCAGAGUCAACCAGACCCCAAGACACCUUCUGGUCCAGAUGGGGACAGAGGUGAUCCUGAGCUGUGAAUAGAACCAGAACCAUGAGGCCAUGUACUGGUACCGGCAGGAUCCCGGGCUGGGACUGCAGCUGAUCUAUUAUUCUGGCAACAUAGACUUAACUUAUGAAGGAGACAUCCCGCAGGGGUAUUCAGUCACUCGGACAAAGAAGGCACCUUCCUCCUGACCCUGGGUCUGCGGACACUAGCAGUCUUCGCUGUAUUUCUGCGUGAGCAGUGUAACCACAGCGCUGCAGGGUCCCCUCCACCUCAUGCACGAACCUCCCCCAGCCGAGGGCAGGAAGCAGGGAGGGGGAACGAAGGCCUCAUCUACCCAUGAACUUACCCAUCACUGCUAAACCAUUCUCCAUGUUCUGAA